AAAAACUUACUAUUUUGGGAAGGUCAUCAUAUUUAUAGAGAAAAAUUGUAGAUUUGGGAUUGUGAUUUAGAAAUUAGGAUAACAAAAGAAUUUGUUGAUAGAUGUGUAUCCUUUUAGAAAAUUUUAUCAAAAUUUUGUAUUUUAAAUAUUUUUAAAAAAUUUAUAAUUUUAGGUAAGGUCAUCUUUUUUUUUUAACAUUAAGGUCAUCAUAUUUAUAGAGAAAAAUUGUAGAUUUAGGAUUGUCAUUUGAACAGAAGCGUCUCAUGCCGCAGAGGUUUCAAGAAGAGGUUAGUAUGCGUAAAUGCCUUUGAGCAUCAUUAUCCAGGGUUUCUUAUGCGUAAAAGCUUUAUAGGGUAAACUGGGUGAUCAAGAUAGCUUCUAAACCCCGCCCUA
rnacentral:lncRNA from 1 species